AUACAUGCAGUCGACGAAGUAGCAAUACUUUAGUGGCGAACGGGUGAGUAACACGUAUCUAACCUACCAUUUAGUGGGGAAUAACUGUUGGAAACGACAGCUAAUACCGCAUAUGUUAUUUAUUUGCAAUGAUAAAUAAUGAAAGGAGCAUUUGUUUCGCUAAUUGAUGAGGAUGCGGCGCAUUAACUAGUUGGUAAGGUAAUGGCUUACCAAGGUAACGAUGCGUAGCCGAUCUGAGAGGAUGAACGGCCACAUUGGGACUGAGACACGGCCCAAACUUCUACGGAAGGCAGCAGUAGGGAAUUUUUCACAAUGGGCGAAAGCCUGAUGGAGCAAUGCCGCGUGACUGAUGAAGAUCUUCGGAUUGUAAAGGUCUGUUGUAAGGGAAGAAGUGCUAGAAUAGGAAAUGAUUUUAGUAUCGACCAUACCUUACC
rnacentral:rRNA from 1 species